rnacentral:rRNA from 1 species
AUUGAACGCUGGCGGCAGGCCUAACACAUGCAAGUCGAGCGGAUGAAGGGAGCUUGCUCCUGGAUUCAGCGGCGGACGGGUGAGUAAUGCCUAUGAAUCUGCCUGGUAGUGGGGGAUAACGUCCGGAAACGGGCGCUAAUACCGCAUACGUCCUGAGGGAGAAAGUGGGGGAUCUUCGGACCUCACGCUAUCAGAUGAGCCUAGGUCGGAUUAGCUAGUUGGUGGGGUAAAGGCCUAACAAGGCGACGAUCCGUAACUGGUCUGAGAGGAUGAUCAGUCACACUGGAACUGAGACACGGUCCAGACUCCUACGGGAGGCAGCAGUGGGGAAUAUUGGACAAUGGGCGAAAGCCUGAUCCAGCCAUGCCGCGUGUGUGAAGAAGGUCUUCGGAUUGUAAAGCACUGUAAGUUGGGAGGAAGGGAAGUAAGUUAAUACCUUGCUGUUUUGACGUUACCAACAGAAUAAGCACCGGCUAACUUCGUG